rnacentral:lncRNA from 1 species
UGAAUGUAAGAAGCAUCAUGGUGACUGGUGAUAAUUGGGGAACUGCAAGUUCCAUUGCUAGUCAAAUUGGCAUUGAAACUGUUGUUGCAGAAGCUAAACCUGAACAAAAAGCAGAGAAAGUAAAAGAGUUACAAGCGGAAGGUUAUGCUGUGGCAAUGGUAGGGGAUGGCAUCAAUGAUUCGCCGGCACUUGUAGCCGCCGAUGUCGGUAUGGCAAUCGGUGCAGGAACAGAUAUUGCAAUAGAAGCAGCUGAUAUAGUUCUGAUGAAGAGUAAUUUAGAGGAUGUGAUCACAGCCAUACACCUUUCCAGGAAAACAUUUUCUCGUAUUCGCCUCAACUAUAUUUGGGCAUUGGGGUAUAAUAUACUUGGGAUUCCAAUAGCUGCAGGGGCUCUAUUUCCAUCAACUGGAUUUCGUUUACCUCCAUGGAUUGCUGGAGCUGCCAUGGCUGCUUCCUCUGUUAGUGUUGUUUGCUGCUCACUCUUGUUAAAGAAUUACGAGAGACCCAAGAAGCUAGAAAACCUUGAGAUUGGUGGAAUACAGAUUGAAUAAUAGAUGAUGGGCGUUCUAUAUAUCCACUUAUAUAUCUAUGCAGGUUUGUUAUAUGUGUAUAUGUAUAGGUUAGGGAUGUGAAAUUUGGCAGACUAAAUAAUAAAGGUAUCAUGCAAAUACUGGUUUCACUAGGCUGCCAAUUUAUGUACAUAUAUUUGGCGUUAUGAUUUUCAGGAUAUAACUGUAGUUUCAAAAUUAGGCGAUCUUUGCAUCAUUGCAUGAUGAAAGGUUUUUUUUUUCUUCUAUAAUACUAAUUUUAUAAAUUAGUAAAAUAUAUUUAAAUUAUUAAAGUAGUAAUAAAAAUAUAUAAAUAAAUUAAUGCAUGAAGUUUAUUUAGUUGGAUUCUAUUAGUGUUUGAGUUGAUAAUUUAUCAGUAAAAGUACGAUGGAAUCUAUUGAAUUUAGGAUGGACUACAUUUUGGACUCUUUAUUGAAAAAUAAGUAAAUUAGUCCUUAUGCAUUUAGAAACGCGCAAAUUAACCUUUCCAUUAAAUUUUAGCUGUUAAAUAAUUAUGUGAAACGUUAAAUCCAUGCUCAAAAUUAAGUUUUUAUAGGUAAAGUAUAAAAAUUGUCACCCAAUUGUGACUUUCAUUAUAUUUUGGUGACCCAACUAUUAAUUUCGAUUUAGUCACUAAACUUUUCGAAUUAAAUAUCUUAGUCACUCUAAGCUUUUGUGAUUUUUUUUAUUGGUCUAAUAACAAAUUUAGCCCACUAAUAUUUACACAUCUAUCAUUUUGAUCCUAAAUAUAAAAUAUUCAACAAAUUUAGCCAUCAAUGUUUACAAAAUUUGUCAUUUUAGUUCUAAUUUAAAAAAAAAUCAAUGAAUUUGGCCCUCAAUAUUAUAAAAUUUGUCAAUUUAGUCCUAACUGUGAAAAUUAAUAUUUAUAAGAUGGGAAAGUCAAGAGACGAAUAUGAGGAAGCAGGCAGGGGCCUUGACCCCCUAAAAUUUUUUUUCAAUUUAGUAUUCUUAUAAAUAAAGAAACUAUAAAUUAAUAUAUAAUGAACUUACAUUUUGACCCAUUCAAAUGAAUUUUUUUAAUUCAAUUCUCUUAUAAAUAAAGAAAAUAAUAAGAUUGUACUUUAACCCCUCAAAAUAAAAAUGUUUAGUCCCUUCAAAAUGAUCAAAUUAUAAAUUAAUAUAUAAUAAAUUUAUAUUUUAAUCUAUAAAAUGUUAUGGUUCAAUUCCGACUCUGUAAAUUUGUCAUCGCUGAACCGUAAAUCAAAUUGAUUCACCAAGAUAGAGUAGGAAAAGGAAAUCAAUUUGGCUAUGUCGAUUACAUCGUAGUGACCAAUCAAUCAUCUUUCCUUAAAAGUUUAUUAAAUUGAUUUUUAUUUUAUUUUGAUGAAAUAAGCACAAUAUUCUAGGUUUGCAAAGCCUUAGACUUUUGAGAAUGAUAUUAAUAGAACAAAUGGUAAAUUCAGCAAUUGGUUAGAGCAGUAAACUAAAUAGUUAUUCACUUAGAUAUCUUAAGUUGGGAUCUUAAAUCAAAGAUAUUAUUUUUAUUUUUAUCUUUAAUUUUAUACAAAAAGUUAACCACGUUAGGGAAUGUAACGCCCCAAUUUUCGGGAAUCCUGUGAAUGUUGGCAUAGGUUUAAUUAUGUUAAUGGGCCUCUAGAAAGCCCAAGCUUAAGAUAGAACCCAGUAAUUUUAGUUAAUUUUUGUUCCAUAAGAAAAAGGGGGUGAAAUUAUGAAAUAGAACCUAUGUGAAAAUGUUUGAAAAUGCUAUAGGCUAAAUUGAAGUGGCCAAAUAAAUAGGAGUGCAAAAUAGGAGGAUUUCCAUGACAAACCUCCUAUUUUACAUGAAGUGGUCAGCCAUCAUGUUGUUGUAGACAAAAUGUGCACUUGAUAUCUAUAAUUUAUGGUACAAAUUGAUACAAAUUGAUAAUAGGUUAGGUAAAUGUUCCAUGAUAAUGGGUUAGGUAAAUGUUUCAUGAUAAGAAUUUCAUGUCUUUUGUAUUAAAGAAUUAAAUGGAUGAAAUAUGAAGUUUUAUUAAAAGAAAAAGGGGUGAAAAGAAUAAAGUUUUGUCCAUCUUUGUUCAUCAUAGCUGAAAGUUAGAGAAGAGAAAGGAGAGGAGAAAGCUCUUGAGUAUUCGGUCAUUAGGAGGAGAAAAAUUGAAGGUAAGUUCUUGGUACCUUGCUUCUAUUUUGAGGUUCAUGAGUUCUUCUUGAUUCUACCUUAACUUUUGAAGUAUAUUUUGAUUUUUAGUUGUGUUGUGAGCAUUUGGUCAUGAAUUAAAAUGAAGGAAAUGGUUGUUGUUUCAUGUUCUUUUGAUGAAAACUGGAAGAUAUGUGAAGUUGAGCCAAACAAAUGAGCAUGCAUGUGCCUUAGAUGCUAAAGGGAAAAAUCGGCUAACAUGUUGUGCUUUAAAAUGAUGAAAUGGAGAUUAUGCUUAAGUAAAAAUCAUAGAUAUGUGAUGGUUGAUUGGUGAUAUACAUGUUUAAAUAACAUGCAUGCAAGAUAGGUGUAUGAAAGAGUGAUUUGGUAAUAAAUCUGCUUGGGACAACAGCAGUAACGUGACUUUGGAAAAUCACCAUAAAUUGUGGGAGAUGAAUUAGAAGCUGAAUAAAUUAUGUAAUUAAAGCUUAUUGAGUCUAGUUUCUAAUGAAAUAAACAAGAACAUAUUUUGAAUUCUGUACAAUGAGAAAUUUGAUUCGUAAUGAAGAGUGGUCAGAUUAGUCAAACAGUGAAAUAUGGGAAACUUUGAGAAAAAUCUGGUAUUGAUUGGCUAAACCAAAAAUUCUGAAAAUUUUAUGGAUAGAAGAUAUAUGAGUCUAUUUUCAGGGAAAAUUAACGGAACUUGAUUUGGAGUUUCGUAGCUCCAGUUAUAAAUAAUUUAGUGACUGUUACUCAGGAAGACAGCUUGCAGUGAAAUUAUGAUUAUGUGGUAAACAUCGACAAAAAUUUGUUAAUGAGUUGCUUAUUGAUUUCUUAUAAGCUUACUAUGAUCUAUAGGUGUGGUUGGCCGAAUAUUGUAAGGGGUUAAUACGUAGUUUGUAUUUGAAUAGUUAGAUUAACGUGUUAGUAAUCCAAUUGUAGGCGGUUCGUGUGUGGAUUUCGUCAGCAUAUCGUCGCAAACAGGUGUGUAACUAACACCCUCUUUCUUAGUCUGGAUCGGCAAAAGUCGAAAAGCCAAAAUGCCGAAAAUCGGUAUUUUGUAGAUUUGCGAGUGUGCGAAUGCUCGUGAGGUAAAUCGAUUAAUGUUUUUGGUAAACUGCAAAAUUUGGAUUGCAAAGUGCAUGAUUUCUGUGCCCUCGAUAUUUUUGGGCUUAAUGGGCCAAAAUUGGAAUGAUGGGCCAACGGGCCCAAUUCGGUAAGAACCCUCGGUACGUGAUUCUGUAGUACGUGAAAGGUAGGAAUAUGCAUGAAAAACCCUAAAAUAGAUAAAUUACUGAAAUACCUUUAAAAGUAAAAAAUUUACAAUUUUAUCCCUAGAAGAUAAAUUAUCGAAAUACCCCUAGGGUUAAAUUGACUUAAAUGCAUGUUUGACUGUUGUUAUUUACUGCAUGCCAUGUUGUUAUUAUCUGAUGCAUGGGACCGGGAUAUUGACGGAGGAAGUACUGAAAGUGGCUUGUCCACGUACUGGAAGCUUUGCCUCAAUUUACUGUUAACUGAGCAGUAAUGCUGCAACUGUGGAGUGUUGGGCUGGGUGGGUUGAGCUAUUCCCCACAUGGAGUGUAUGGCUGGUACGGGUGGAGUGUAGUGGUUGGUGGGUUGAGUAGUCUCCCCAAAUGGGCUUGCAUAUGUUAUUGAUGUUGUAUGUAUUUUGAAAUGGGCCUAUGGGCCAUACUGUUAUCUGAAUAAGGGGCUAAGGCCCAGUUUAUUGUAAUCUGAAAAGGGCUCUGGCCCAGUACCACUGUUACCUGAAUGGGCUUAGGCCCAAUAGGCUUGAGCUGACUUGGGCUUUGAAUGGGUUUUCCUUACACACUGAGUUUCCCCAAACUCACCCCUUUUAUUUUCAUCUACGCAAGAAAUCCCCAACCAUAGUGGGCUUGGAGCUGUGAGGGAAUUCGGAGUGGCCACCCGUUCUGAAAGUUUGAUUUUCUUCUGGUGAACUGGACAUCUUUUUAUUUACGUUUGAAGUUUUGGGUUUUUAAAUGUAAUAAGGCCGCUUAAUUAUUUUUAAUGGUUUUAAUAUGUAUUACUAAGAUAGGUAUUACUUAUUUUAACUGUUGAAAUUGGAUAGCUUUAGGGCGCGUUUUCAAAAACAACAGUUGAUUUCAAAAUAACACAACAACAAGUAAAGCUUCCGCAACGAAAGUAUUUUCCAAAAUUAAUCACUUUUCCUAAAAAUGACUUAAUCAAAUCGGUUUCCUAGAAAUAUCCAUGACGUUAAGGUGUGGUAAUGGCAGUAUGCAUGUCUAGGAUUGGAUCCGAAGGGAGCUUGGUACUUAAGCAGUCCGAUGGACUCACCACCUCUUUUUCGGUUUCCUACCUGGUGCACAACUUCCAUUCACUUUAACCUAUAAUGAAAUUAUCUUUUAAAACACUGAGUAGGUUUUUCUGGAUCAACAAUAUAAAAUAUUUUUAACGCUUCGAUGUGGCAUGUCGGAUCCAGCCAUAACGUCUGGGCCGGAUUUGGGGUGUUACAGGGAAAGUAUCAUAACACAAGAAAUGUGUUUUCAUUUAAAAAAAUAUUUUAGUUUAAAAAUUUACCAUAUAUUCGUGUUAAUUUGUUUUAUUAUUUGUAUUUCCUAUUAUUGAUUUAAUUUAAUUAUAAAUAUAAUUUUAAUUAAUUAUAGUUUUAUAAUUUUAGUAUAUAUCUACGCAUAUUCCAAUAUAUGUACAUUUAGAGAGUAUAUUAUUUAAGUUAAAUAUCACACAAAAAUAUUGAUGUAAAAAUAGAGUACACUUAUAUAUGCAUAAUCUUGUAAUCAUAUAAAAAAAUUUGAUGGUUUGGAUGAAAUUACCUGGAUUGCCGGAAGGCAUGUAUGCAAAAAACUUGCUCAAGGUCAUUGGAAAUGUGAUUGGUCCCAUUGCAAUAAUUGACCAGAAUAGCAAUAACAAUUCCAGGGGGCAGUUCGCAAGCCUCGCAGUUUUUAUAGAUUUGGGAAAACCUUUGGUCUCACGAAUUGAUGCGAAAAUACAGAGGGUGGUGUAUGAAUCAUUACCUGAAGUUUACUUCGAUUGUGGGAGAUUUGGACACAACGGUGAUAUGUGCCCUUUCAGACCUGGGAAAGGGGAUAAUACUGAAGGGAAAGUGAAGGGUUCUACUGGUAAGGAAACGUCAACUCAGGAACAGUUGGAGGAAGAGAGAUUUGACCCGUGGAUGUUAGUUGAACAGCGGCAACGACGAAGCUCUAGACCGACGGCAAACUCAAAGGAUGGCAGUGUCAAACCGACGACUGGAGGGUCCCGAUUUGGUGUUCUUAGCGAUAAUUACAGAAGUAUAGAUGGUAGUGAAUCGAUGAGAUUCAAUGAAUUUGAGGAAAUUAGGAUUUUGAGAUAAAAAUAUGAAAAAAAAAAAUCUGUAACACCCAUAACCUAUGUUCAUCGUUAGAAUAGAGUUUCAAAAUAUCAGCGAUCAAACAGACAUAAUUUUCAAACAUUUGUAUCAUAUAAUAUUCAAGUUAGAAACUAAUCAAAUUCAUACCUAAUUUAAUCCAUUUUAGCUAGUUUUUAAACACUUAAACAUCAAUUGAACAUGCCAUAAUAAAACUUCAAACAUAAACACAUAUUCACAUGUAUAUAUCAAACCAUUAUUAAAUUUAUAACCUCAUUUACAAUCAAACCACAAAAUAACUAUUAUUUAGACACCAUUUUUGGAUUUAAAAAUGGAAAUCGACUUUGAUUUUGAAAAUGAAAACGAACAUAGAAGUCAUCACCAAUAUUUUUGUUUAGGUGUGAUCAGAUCACCAAGAAUUUUGGUCAUUUUAAUAAAACAUUUCGAUUUACUAAAAUAACGAUUUUGGUCUACAAAAUUUGAGAAAACGAGUUCGAAAGUCGAUUACGUACGAGAAUAAAUUAACACCCUUGUAACGCUCAAAAUUAGUACCUAAUUAAUUAAGUGUUAUCCUUAUGUCAAGAUUUUAGAAAAAAAUUUGAAAUACGAUUCCCUUUUAAAACAUUUGUAUGAUUCAAGUUGAUCGUCAAAAUUCUCUCGUUUUAAAGGUAUACAACAUCAUAUCAAGCACGAUUGGACACAAUCCUUUAUACCUUCAAAAAUACGAUUGAUUUUUAACUUUCAAAAGCUCGUACGUCAAAAAUUAUAAAAGAAUAUUCAAAUAUUUAGUCUGACGAAAAAUCAUACCCAACACGAUAGGACAUGAUUCCCUAAAUUUCCAAACAUUGAAUACUGCCUUAUUUUAAAAUCUUUGGGUAAAGAAAAUCAAAAAUUAACUCAAAAUCCAUUUAUUUGUUUUAAAAUAAGAUGGUAUAAUUAAAGGGUUACAAAGGAACAUUUGUAUGAAGAAGGAUUAAUAAACACGAGAUAAUACACACACAUAAAGUGCAAUAAACCACAAUCAAUAAAUCCAACAAUUAAAUACAACUAUUCUAAUAAAAAUGUGACCAAAUUUUUAAGCAUGGAUGGAAAACAAUAAAUAAAACAAUGAAUAAAUAAUAUACAACAACAAUAAAUAUGAAACAAUAUAAAACAAACAACAAAGCAUGUACAAAACAAAAUGAAAAUUAAAAGUCAAUGUGGGGUGAGACAAUUUAAAAUAGUGAUGAACGAAUGACCACAUAAUAUACAUGAUAUAUUAAUGGAUGAUUUGAUGAAUUUGAAAUAAUUUGGGUAAAAAAAAAAACUAGGGAUAUAUAUAAUCAUUGAAAUACAUAUUAUAUAAUAAAGAUUUUUAAAUCGAAUAGUAUACGAAGUGUUAAAAAACAUUUGUUAAAAUACAUACAACAAAGGAAAAUUCAAAUAAUAUAUAAAAUAUGAAAGGAUAGCAAAAAUGCAUAAUAAAAUAUAUUAGGAAAUACACAUAAUAAGUUUACAAAACAUAUAUCUACAUAAGUAAAUUUAGAAGUAAUUAUUUGUAAAAACAAUAUGGAAUUAAUAAUGCAUAUAAAAUUAACUUUUCCAUAAAUUAUAUAUAUAAGAAAUUUUAAAAAAUAUAAUCAUAUAUACAAAAGAAAAAAAAACUAUAUUUACAAAAUACAUAAAUUUAGUGAUGUAUAUGGAUCAAACAUAUAUUCCAAUAAUAUAUAUAUAUAUACACAGAGAAUUUUGAAACAAAUUUUAUAUGACAUAAUUUUACAUAUAACCAAUUAAUUUAGAUUAAUGAUACAUAUAAAUAAUACAAACAUAAAUAUAAUAAUAUGUGGAGGUAUAUGAUAUAAUUUUAAAUAUGGUUAAAAAAAAUUAUACACGUAAAUAAACUUAAAGGACAGUAUACAUACAUCGAAAAUUUUUACAUAUAAUGACGUGAAAUAAAUAACACGGGAGUAAAAAAUAAUUUAAUAUGAAUUAUAUAUCAUAAUAUGAAGUUUAAUACCAUGUAAACCUUCAAACAUAAAAAUGUACAUAUAAAAGAUUUUUACAUUCAUGAAUCGUAAAGUUAAACAAAUUAAAACAUACAUACAUAUAUAUAUACACUAAUGAAAGUGCUUAAACAAUGCAAGGUUAAUGAAAUAAUCCAUGAUAAUAUGUCCAAAGAUAUAUAGCAAAUGAGUUUCUUUGAAAAAAAAAUAAAAAAUAAUAUAAAGAAUAAAAACUUGAGCUAAAAAACUCAAUUGAAGCAAAAAUAAAAUUAAACGGAUAAUUUGCAAAUAAAUAACAACUGUUAAACAACCUGAAGGACUAAAUAGGGAUUAAAAAAAAAUAAACCAUCUAAUGUGGACUAAAUUGAGUAUACGCGCAAAUUCUAGAAAUAAUUUAAAAGAAUCAAAGAAAAUAUAAAUAGGGCCUAAAUAGAUGGCGGCACAAAUGGGGAGGACUAAACGCAAAAAUUCCCCUUUUAAAGUGAGAAUGCGUGGAUCAAGCCAACGCAUUGACUUCCCUCCCCCCUCUUUUAAUGGUGCCUUCUGAAUUUUCAUUAAAACCUUUAUCAUUAUUAUUAUUUUUUAUUAUUAUUUUUUUUUACCUUGCAAACCCCAAAAGUCUCAACCCCCUCUGUUACGGUUUCACCCAAACAUGACGCCGGACCACCACCAUAUCUGGUUGCCGACGGUGCGAAAAAAUGGCCUAAGACCAUGACCACGAAGCCCUGGUAAGUGAGCUCCCUUUCUUUGUUCUCAUACAUCAAUAAAAAAGAUAAAAAAAGAAGAUGAAAACAACUUGAAAUCCUGUUUUGCUUUAGAAAAUAAAAGGGAGAGUUUUAUCACACAAGAAAGCAAAGGGCCUCAACCCCAUUUCGGGUCCGAAUCCAAAGACGGGGGAAAUCUCCGAUGACACGGCCACGAGGUAAGUCCCUCUCCUCUCUUAGUUGCGUGUAAAAAAAGAAAAUGUCACAAGAAAAUCAAAAUAGACUAAAAAUAAAGAAAAUCCAGAAAUCAAAUCACCUUUUUGAAAUAGUCUUCUUUUUGGAUUAAUACUCUCUGCUUCUUUUAUUUCCAAAAAAUCCCCCCUUUUUUGCAUUCGCUUUUUUCUUUGGCUUUAUAGCCAAGAAUAUUACAAAUACAUUAUCUAUGUUCUACUGCUUCUGCUUUGCGUGUUUCUCUUUCGUUUUGUAGGGCUAAGCGGGAUCAACGGAAAGGGCGCAGGUAGUGGUACAGGCGAUGGGACGGGGCACCUAUCUCGGGCGUUGAACGCGCUGACAGCACGUGAGGAGCAGUGCCUAAUGUGCUGGUAUGAAACCCUAGGGUUUCCUGGUUUAGUAUUUUGGGCCUAUUGGGGCCAAUAGGAAUUGGGUCAGAUUUUUUUAAAAUGGGUUUGGGUUUAUUGGGCUUGAAUUUGUAAAAUAGACUGUUAACAAUUAUUUUUUGAGUUGUUGAGCCUCGGACAAAUUUGGGCCUCUACAAAUAUAAUAGACACAAUUGAAUAUUUAAAAUCACAUUUAUUCAUACUAUGACAUUAGCCAUACAAUACUCAAUUCAUGAAUACAUCAUUAUAUACCAUAAUCAAUUUUCAUUACUUACUAUAUAAUAGUUUUCCAUUCCACAUAUUAUUUAAAUAAUGACACUAUCCAUUCUACAUUCAAUUCAUGAGUUCCAUGUAUUUACAAUAUAUUUCACACUAUUUCAGUUCAUUAUUUUAAUUCCAUUGUGAGAUGUUGGCUUGAAGAAGACAUUAAACAGUCAUUGCUAACUGAUGAUAAUUUUCAUUAGGAUGAUGCUCGUUUUAUUUUUUAAACUUAUGUUCAACAAAAAAAAAGAAAAAAAAAAGAUGAGAUUUAAUUCAUUGAUAUUGUGAAAAAAUAAAUAUAAUUUUUUUUAAAAUUAAUUAAUAAAUUAAAUAUAACAUGAAUUUUUGUAAGAAAACAAUAUGAAUUGAAUUAAUGAAAAUAUAUUUUUAUAAAGAAUUUGUCAUAAAUUAAUUUUUUUCCAUAUAUAAACAAAACAUAAUAAAAUUUUUGUCCAAAAUUGUUUCUAUAUUUUUAUGAGGAAUUUGUUUUGAAUUAAAUUUUUUAAAUGAGUUAUACACGGUAGAUUAUUAUGGUAACAAAUGACAAUUUAUAAAUUGUGCCAUAUAAGAAUUGUUUCCUUUUGUGUAAUCUCAUAUUAUUAUAAUAUAUAUAAAAAAUAUUUGUUAUUAUGUCAGUGGAGUUUUUAGACUUCAAAUGCAAUGUUAGGGAGUUGAUAAGUGUUUUAUAUAGGGUAUAUUAGAUAUAUUAAAUAUGCUCUAAGAUUUUGUACUCCUCAAAUAUUUAGAAUUUAGUCCUUUUACUUUUAUUAUAAGACAUUUACUCUCUCUACUUUUUAGAUUUAAAAAAGCAAGUUGAAUUGUUAACACCUUUAAAUUUUUUUUUGUUAAAUUUAAGAUCAUUAUAUUGUCAUUUUUUUUUAGUUACAUGGUUAUCAAAUGAAUUUUUUUUUUAAUUUCAAAAUAUCAUACUAAUAAAAUUAACCAAAAAAAUAAGAUGUUAACUAUUGGAUUUAAAUUUGAAAUAUAAAAAAUAGAAUAAUUAAAUUUCAGAAAAUAAAAAUAUAAAAAUUAAAAUUAAAAUUUAUUAGACUUAUAUAGUAUAUUUGAACAAAUUUUAAACCAAGAAAUGCAACAGUUUGAACCAAUUGAGAAAUGGGCAAAGCGCAAAAUGUUCCGUUCACACGCCGAAAAGUACAAAACUAGGGGACGUAGCCCUGAUGCGAAUACGGCCCCACUUUAUCCGAUGUGCGAGCAUAUGAAAAUUCCACGUUGUAAAAUUUGCCUUCACGGUCCCCAGACGACGUUUUGACCGUCUUCUCAAAAUCCUAUAAAUUACGCUGCAUGGUACCCUUUUCAACUUGUAUUAGCCUUGUUUGAAAAAUAAAUAAAUUAAAUCUUGAUAUAGUUGCUUUGCUUUUGCUUCUCUUAAACUGAGUUCCAAGCAAAACCCUUUUCUGUUUUUCGUCUGAUUUCGCUAAGGUCUUCUUUGGGUAGUUUGAGAUUUGAGUUUUUCAUCAUACUAUGUCUUCUCAAUCUUCUAAGGAAUCAGUUCAUGAUUUCACUGUUAAGGUUCAUUUUGGGUUUAAUUCAAAUUUAUACCCCCAUAGAUUAAAUUUAAAUUGUCUUUCAUUUAUCUCACUGGGUUUUGUUUUUUUUUUUUGGCUGUUCAGGAUGCAAGAGGGAAUGAUGUUGAUGUGGCAAGAAGUUUGACGAUGGCGACAAAGUUGUUAGCUUCGUCAUGCGUAAGGAAGGAGAGUUCUGGGGAUUUGUCACCAAGGCCUCAUUAUCCAUCGAUUCCCAAAUACCCAAAAGGGGUUACGGCACAAGAAACGAGCUUGCAGGGAUCAGAGGCGAAAGCUAUGCUUUCAGUGAUGGGGAUGACAUGUUCGGCCUGCGCUGGCUCCGUCGAGAAGGCUAUUAAGAGGCCUCCGGGAAUUAAGGAAGCUGUUGUUUGAACAACAAGGCGCAAGUUAUGUUCUACCCAAGUUUUGUUAACGUAAGUUUUUCUUAAUUUAUGUUUAGAUAAUUGAAUUUCAGAACAACUAGCUUUUAAUUCAUCAAGUCGGAUAUUCAAAUUAAUUGCAGCCUUCUAAAGAUAUGCAUGAAUAGGACAAGAAAAAUGUAAACCUUUUUUUUGUUUGUUUGUGCAGUGAAACAAUUGUUUUCACUAAGCAACAAAAACAAGAUUUGGUUCUCUGCUUUGACAAGUUUGACUUUAUUGACUUUAUUUCCACUUACCUUUGCUUGGGGAGGAUAAGGAAGAAACAACUUAAAGUAGGCAUGAUUAUGAACCCUUUGAUUUUGACUUCUAUUGAUGCUUUACCGACAAAUCUACAGGUUGCUGCAAUUUGUUUUUGUGAAUGGGGCCAGCUUGGUAGUGAGCCAUGAAACCCCACCUUACGUGUUAUAUACUUAAAUCCCAAGUACCACCCUUCAAAUUUUAAGUCUAUUCAAAUUUGGCUUCUCAUAUUGUCAAUCCAAUGAUUAGGAUAUUUAUAUAUUUCAUCAAUUUAACUUCUAUAUUUUUUAAAUUGUUUCAUUGUCUCACGUUUCGUCUAGGUUAAAUUGUUUUUUAUAUUAGAUUUUUAUAUAAAAAUAUAAAAAGACAGUAGCGUCUAAUAUUUUUUAUUUUUUAAAUGAAUUUUUUUAAAUAAAUUUUCAAUUGAGUUUAUGUUUAGUCUAUUGUAUUACUAACUCUAUCAAUAACUUAAAUAUAAUAACUAUAGAUAUAAUAUUUUAAAUUAUUUUUAUAUAAAAAUAUAAAAUAUAAAAAAUAAAAAUAAAAACAUUAUUAUAAUAAUAUUUGGUAAAUUUUUUAUUUUUAAUAAAUUUUAAUUGAAUUGAUGUUGGAUUAAUUUGUGUUAUUAAUUCUGUCAGAAGUUUAAAUAUAUUACGCAUAGAUAUAAUAUUUAACUUUUUAAGUGAGCUGAGGGAAAACUAAGGGGAAAAAAUAUACUUCUACAUCAAGAGCUAUGCUUCAUGUUGUUUACUGUUGGAUGCUAAUUUCCAAAUGACAAAAAGGGUUGGACUGAAAGUUUUACUACAGCUUUGCUCAUUGUUACAGAUGCAAAAAGAUAUUACUUGAUGACGUUAAGUGAAUGAAGUAAAGCUUAAAAAUGUAUCCCACUAAUUGUUCUUGCAGUUUCAUUAGAAGGUGCAGGAUUUAGCUCCUAACUUAUUAGAUGCAUGUUGGACUUGAAUCUGUCUUGUUCUUUUGUUUUUUUUUAUCUUGAACAAGGUUUUGAAAUAUUAAACAUUUAUAGGAAGAGAGCAUUCGUGAGGCCAUUGAAGAUGCUGGAUUUCAAGCUGCAUUGAUCCAAGACGAGACCGACUAUAAAUCCGUUCAAGUCUGCCGUAUUCGGAUCAACGGAAUGACAUGCACUUCUUAUCGACGGAAUGACAGGCAGCUCCCGGUGUGCAAAAGGUCCAAGUGGCUUUAGCAACCGAAGAAGCACAGAUUCAUCAUGAUCCCAAAAUCAUAACCUGCAAUCAACUCAUGGAGAAAAUAGAAGAGACCGGAUUCGGAGCCGUACUUGUUAGUACUGGAGAAGACAUGAGCAAGAUCAAUCUCCGUAUCGACGGUGUAAGGACGGUUAACUCGAUGAGAGUGCUUGAAAAUUCCCUUCAAGCACUCCCUGGUGUUCAAGCUGUACAAAUAUCCCCUGAACUCAAAAAAAUUGCAGUCUCAUAUAAACCAGAUAUGACAGGACCAAGAAACUUCAUCAAAGUAAUAGAUUCAACAGGUAGUAGCAGGCGUUUUAAGGCAACGAUAUAUUCCGAAGGUGAAGGUGGUGGAAGGGAAUCUCAUAGAAAAGAAGAAAUUAAGCAGUACUUCAGAUCCUUCCUAUGGAGCUUGAUUUUCACUACUCCUGUAUUUUUAACCUCCAUGGUUUUCAUGUAUAUCCCUGGAAUUAAACAUGGAUUGGACACCAAAGUAGUGAAUAUGUUAACUAUAGGUGAAGUCAUAAGAUGGGUGCUAUCAACUCCGGUUCAGUUCAUAAUAGGGAGACGGUUUUACACCGGUUCUUAUAAAGCAUUACGCCAUGGGUCCGCAAAUAUGGAUGUUUCAAUCGCAUUGGGGACUAAUACAACUUACUUUUAUUCUGUAUACACUGUGAUAAGAGCUGCUUCUUCUCCAGAUUUUGAAGGUACUGAUUUUUUUGAAACAAGUGCAAUGCUUAUCUCAUUCAUUUUACUUGGUAAGUAUCUUGAGGUUUUAGCUAAAGGAAAAACAUUAGAAGCCAUUGCUAAGCUUAUGAACCUUGCACCUGAGACAGCAAUGUUGUUGAGUUUAGAUGAAGAAGGAAAUAUGAUAGGUGAAGAAGAAAUCGAUAGUCGAAUGAUACAAAAGAAUGAUAUUAUCAAAAUCCUACCUGGUGCAAAAGUAGCUUCAGAUGGUUUUGUUUUGUGGGGGCAAAGUCAUAUAAAUGAAAGCUUGAUAACCGGAGAAGCACGACCGGUGGCAAAAAGGAAAGGCAAUACGGUUAUCGGAGGUACGGUUAAUGAGAAUGGAGUAUUGCAUAUUAAAGCAACAAAGGUUGGUUCAGAAAGUGCACUUGCACAGAUUGUUCAUCUUGUUGAAUCUGCUUAAAUGGACAAAGCUCCUGUACAGAAGUUUGCUGAUCGAAUUUCCAAAUAUUUCGUGCCUCUGGUGAGUCAAGUCAAGAGAGUCCUUUUAGGAUUGUUUCCAUAAAGUUGGUUUUAAGCUACUUGUUCUUGUUGUUGUCUUCAACAGGCGAUCAUGCUUUCGUUUUCAACGUGGCUUGCAUGGUUUUUAGCUGGAAAGUUCCAUGGUACCCUGAAUCAUGGAUACCAUCUUCGAUGGAUAGUUUUGAGCUGGCACUUCAGUUUGGAAUUUCAGUGAUGGUCAUAGCUUGUCCAUGUGCCUUGGGGCUUGUAACCCCUACUGCUGUUAUGGUCGGUACUGGUGUCAGUGCAUCUCUAGGUGUAUUAAUCGAAGGUGGUCAAGCAUUGGAAGGUGCACAUAAGGUAAAUUGCAUUGUAUUCGACAAGAGAGGAACUCUCACGGUCGAAAAGCCGGUCGUUGUUAACACAAGACUGUUGAAAAACGUGGUGUUACAUGAAUUCUACGAGCUUGAUGCUACAACUGAGGCAAAUAGUGAGCAUCCUUUAGCCAAAGCCAUUAUCGAGUAUGCCAAGAAGUUCAGAGAAGAUGAAGAGAACCCUGCAUGGCUAGAAGCACGUGACUUCGUCUCUAUAACAGGACAUGGAGUGAAAGCCAUUGUUAGGGACAAGGAAAUAAUUGUGGGAAACAAGAGCUUAAUGUUGGAAAACAACAUUGUUAUUCCAGUUGAUGCUCAAGACAUGUUAACCGAAACGGAAUCGAUGGCUCAAACCGGUAUUUUAGUAUCAAUAGAUGGUGAAGUAACGGGAGUUCUCGCCAUAUCCGAUCCAGUGAAACCAGGUGGACAAAAAGUUAUUUCCAUUCUCAAGUCAAUGAAUGUAAGAAGCAUCAUGGUGACUGGUGAUAAUUGGGGAACUGCAAGUUCCAUUGCUAGUCAAAUUGGCAUUGAAACUGUUGUUGCAGAAACUAAACCUGAACAAAAAGCAGAGAAAGUAAAAGAGUUACAAGCGGAAGGUUAUGCUGUGGCAAAGGUAGGGGAUGGCAUCAAUGAUUUGCCGGCACUUGAAGCCGCCGAUGUCGGUAUGGCAAUCGGUGCAGGAACAGAUAUUGCAAUAGAGGCAGCUGAUAUAGUUCUGAUGAAGAGUAACUUAGAGGAUGUGAUCACAGCCAUACACCUUUCUAAGAAAACAUUUUCUCAUAUUUGCCUUAACUAUAUUUGGGCAUUUGGGUAUAAUAUGCUUGGGACCCCAAUAGCUGCAGAGUCUCUAUUUCCACCAACUAGAUUUCGUUUACCUCUAUGGAUUGCUGGAGCUGCCAUGGUUGCUUCCUCUGUCAGUGUUGUUUGCUGCUAACUCUUGUUAAUGUUAGAGUUAGUUAUGAAUUGUUAUUCUGGUGCAAUAGUUGUUAAGCCGUUAAGGGAAAGUUAGUCAGUAGCAGUUCUCUAUAAAUAACAGUUGUAAAGUUCAAAGAAAAGCUGGAUAUGAAAUACACAGUAUACUAUCUCUUUCAUUCGUUUCUUCUUUAGUUAAGAUAGUUCUUAUCUUAGGUUUUAUCAUGGUAUCAGUCGCCUAGUUCCUGGUGCUUGUGCUUCUUUUCGUCUUACGCUCAUGGAUCCAUUUAUUGCAUCUCCGACUGGUGGUGCUACUGCUCCUUUCUCCAUUUCGCGUUUAGUGCAUAGUUUUCCUCGUCAUGAAACAAUUAAUUUGGAUAAGACGAACUGUGUUCAAUGGCAACUUCAAGUUCGUUUGAUUGUUGAAGCUAUGAUCUUCAAGGUUUCUUGGACGGUUCUGUUCCUGCUCCGCCGAAGGUGGUGGCUACACCGGAUGGUACUCUCGCUCCGAAUCCGGAAGCGAUUCUGUUCCAACAACAGGGAUAAGUUGCUGGCAUCGUGGCUUCUCUCUACGGUUAAUUCUUCUCUGCUCUCUUAUUUCAUUUCUACUAAAACUGCGAGUGAUAUUUAGAGUGCUGCGAGUCAUUUGUUUGCAGCUUCAUCCAUCGAGAAGGUGUCUCAGAUCCGGCAUGAUCUCCAUGCGGUCCAGAAAGGUGGAUUCGCUGUCAAAGAGUAUGUAUCACGCAUCAAGACUCUGUGUGCUCUUCUAGAGGUGUCGGGUUCGGCUGUUUUUGAGGCAGAGAAAGUGGAGGUACUCCUUGAUUGUAUUUCUUCUGAUUUCGAUUCUGUGUUUAUGUUAGUUUCAGUCUCGUCGGAGCCGUUAUCGUUUCAAAAACUUGUUGAUAUAUUGAUGGCCAUUGAGAAUCGCCAAACACAGGUUGCAAGGGAUGUCCCAAUGGUUACGCAUGUUGUUGAAACUCCUGUUGCGGUUGCUGAGUAUGAUUCUCGUGUUGUGCGUGGUGAGAGGUCAUCGACUGGAUCUCGCGGUGGUCGUGGUUUCCAUCCUAGAGUGCAGUGUCAGAUAUGUAAUCUGCUCGGCCAUGUUGCGCAGUGCUGCUACUAUCAGUUUGACAGAGAGUUUGAUACUUCCUCUUUUAGUCAUGAUGCUCUGGCCGUUGGUGGUGAGUAUCGUUCUCGGGCGUUCCCUCCGGUGCAACGUGUUGAAGGAAGGCAGUGGAUAUGGCAGAAUCAUUCUGCUACGCCUGCGUUUGGAUCUGCAUAGCAUGGUAGGCAGUAUGUGUCGACUGGGCAGCAUGGUGGGCCAUAUGCGCCCCGUGUGUAUGCACCUGGGCCUUAUGCCCGUCCUAGUAGGCAAUUUGUAGAUCGUGGGGCCCAGUAUGAUCUGGGUCAGAUGCAGUAUGCUCCUACGCCAAAUGUUAUUGGCCGAAUGCCUGGGCCACAUGGCCCUCCCGAUUAGCGUCAUGGGCCGGUUCCUGGUGCUCAAACCGUGCCUCAAGAUUCUCUUGGUUCUCUUGUUGCGAAUUUUGUGGGCGUCCCGACUGUUCCGCUUGAGGUCCCGUGGCGUACAAAACAUCAUGCUCGAUUUUUUGAUAUUGAUAAUUCUCAGGAUAUUGGAUUGCCUCGUAUUCUCGAUUUUCGUGCUUCUAAUUUUUCGGACACAUCCCGGUAUGACUCGAGUUUUGGCAGUGUGGAUCCUUAUGUUCCCACACCAGUCGGGACUACAUCGUGGUGCCCGGACUCUGGUGCUUCUCAUCAUAUUUGCCAGAAUGCAGCAGAUUUAAAUGCUCCUACUCUUUAUUCAGGUACAUCUGAAUUUUUAAUGGGCAAUGGGGUUAUUUCUAAAAUGUUGUUUGUAGGAGAUACGAUUCUUUCUUCAAAUUCAAAGCUCUUGCGGUUGACUAAUGUGUUGUGUGUUCCAAGUAUUCGCAAGAAUCUCUUAUCUAUGUCGUAGUUUGCUCAGGAUAACAAUGUGUUUUUGGAAUUUCACCCCUCUUAUUGUGUCAUUAAGGACAUUAAGACGCAUGAAAUCUUGUUGCGGGGCCAAGUUCGUGAUGGGCUCUAUCAUUUCUCAGUUGCUUCCCUUGUCUCAUCUGCUCAAGUGGCUGAGGUUCAUAAUGUUGAUGUUCAAGAUUCCUCAUUGAUCCUUGAUGAUUUCACGCUAUGGCAUAAUCGACUUGGUCAUCCGUCGGCUAGGAUUUUUAAUGAUGUUUUAAAUAAAUAUGGAAUUGUUUCUAAUAAAAAGACUCUCACUAAUGUUUGUAUUGCAUGUCAGAAGGGCAAGUCUCAUAAACUGCCGUUUUCUAAGUCCAAUACUGAGUAUGUGGAGUUGUUUGAAUUAGUUGUAUCUGAUUUGUGGGGUCCGGCAUCUGUUGCCUGUGAAAGAAAUUUGUACUAUGUUUCCUUUGUAGACAUGUACAGUCGGUUUACGUGGGUUUACUUGAUUAAACGUAAGUCUCAAGCAUUAGACUGUUUUCUUCAAUUUCAGAAAUUGGUAGCUACUCAGUUUGGCAAGCAAAUUAAGAAGUUUCAAAGCGAUUGGGGUGGGGAGUUUCAUGUUUUUGCGUCAGUCCUUGCUGAUCAAGGGAUUUUACAUCGUUUAUCUUGCCCGCACACUUUUGAACAAAAUGGAGUGGCUGAGCGUAAGUAUCGACAUAUCGUGGAAAUUGGUCUAACCUUACUUGCUCAAGCUAAUCUUCCUAUGAAACAUUGGGGUUAUGCGUUCAGCAGUGCUGUUCAUCUUAUUAAUAGACUGCCUACUUCUGUUUUACAAGGUCAUACAUAGUAUCAAAGACUGUAUGGGUGUGUUCCCCAAUAUGCUUAUCUCCAGAUUUUUGGAUGUUGUUAUUUUCCGUACCUAUGCCCAUUCUUACGUCAUAAGCUAGAUUUUCAUUCUCAGCCCUGUACAUUUUUAGGUUAUAGCUCUCAACAUAAGGGUUAUUUUUGUCUUACUCCAGAAGAGAAAAUGAUUGUUUCUCGUCAUGUUGUGUUUGAUGAGCAUCGGUUCUUGUUUUUGCCUCCGGUGUCGACUAAUGCUGGUCAUUCUAUGCAAACUGUUACGUAUGUUCCUCUUGUUCAUACGUCCCCUUCCACACAUUCGAAACCUCCUGUCAGUUCUUCACAACUUCCUGUUGUUUCUUCACCGUCUCCUGUGCUUGAAUCUGCUUGUGAGGCUAUUCGCUCUGCUUUUGAUUCUCAAUCUGCAACGUGUUCAUUACCAGCAGCUGUGACUAUUCAGUCUGGUGCUGCUAGUACGGGGAAUGUAAGGGGUAGUUACUCUUCCACUUCGGUGUCUUCUGAGCAGUCAAUCCCGUUAAAUGUGCCUUGUGUUUCUUCAGGAAAUACUCAUGCUAUGGUCACACGAUCGAAGGUAGGAAUUUUCAAGCCCAAGGUUUUAACUGCUAUAGCUGUUGAUUUUGAGCCAUGUUUUAUUGAAGAGGCCCUUGCUCAUCCGAACUGGAAGGUUGCUGUUCAAGCUGAAUUUGAUGCACUCAUGGCUAAUUCGACUUGGGACCUUGUACCUUCUCUUCCUGGACGGCGAGCGAUCGAGUGCAAAUGGUUAUUCAAAAUUAAGAGAAAUCCUGACGGUUCUGUUAAUCGACGAAAGGCUCGCUUAGUUGCUAAAGGGUGUUCUCAAAUACCAGGUUGUGAUUUUACAGAAACCUUUAGUCUUGUAGUUAAACAGGCUACUAUUCGUAUUAUCUUGUCUAUUGUUGUUUCAAGACGAUGGCCCCUUCGUCAGGUCGAUGUGAAUAAUGCAUUCUUGAACGGGGAUUUGGAUAAUGAAGUGUUCAUGCAACGACCUCCGGGGUUUGUUCAGUAUGAUUCUGCUGGGCAGCCUUUUGUCUGUCGAUUGAAGAAGGCCUUGUAUAGGCUUCGAAAAGCCCCACGAACAUGGUUUGAUAAACUCAAGCGGUUUCUUGUGUCUAUUGGGUUUGUCGUAUCGAAGUCUGAUACAUCUCUCUUUAUUCGUAUUACGUCUGAUUCCGUCUUAUAUGUCCUUGUGUAUGUCGAUGAUAUAAUUAUCACUGGUAAUGUCUCAACUGUUAUUGCUAAAUUUGUUGAUUAGUUAAAUGCUGAGUUUGCUCUCAAAGAUAUGGGUGAUUUGCAUUAUUUUAUUGGAAUUGAGGUUACCCGCUCGUCUACUGGGUGCCUUCACUUAUGUCAGAAAAAAUAUAUUCGGGAUCUUCUUGCUCGAAGUUCACUCUCCAAUGCCAAACCGGUUCAUACACCUAUGAUUUUCUCCUCUCGAUUGUCCAAAAGUUAUGGUGAUCCGUUAAGUGAUCCUACAAAUACCGGAGUCUUGUCGGAGCCCUGCAGUUCGUUGUCCUUACUCGUCCUGACAUUGCUUAUGUUGUUAAUCAUAUUUGUCAAUUCAUGCACAACUCUUCUACAGUUCAUAUGGUUGCUUUGAAGCGAAUAUUGCGAUAUUUAUAUGGUACGCUUGAUUAUGGUGUUGUCUUUCGCCCUUCUACCCGUUUGUCUCUUGUGGGAUAUGCUGAUGCUAACUGGGGGUUGGAUUUUGAUGACCGCCGUUCUACGUCUGGCUACUGUAUGUAUUUUGGAUACUCGCCAGUUUUGUGGUGCUCCAAAAAGCAGCAAGUCGUCUCUCGCUCUACGGCUGAAGCAGAAUACCAGAGUCUUGCUGCAGCUACUAGUGAUGUCACUUGGUUGCUCUCUCUGCUUCAGGAGUUACAAGUUUCGUCUGCCGAUACUCCUACUAUCUAGUGUGAUAAUUCUAGUUCCGUUGCCGUUGCUGCUAAUCCUGUUCUUCAUUCUAAGUUUAAGCAUGUGGACCUUGACUUGUUCUUUGUUCGGGAGAAGGUUGCCGCUGGUACCAUUGUUGUUGGUAAGGUACCUGCCUGUGAUGAAGUUGCUGACAUUCUUACUAAGCCACUUUCCUUGGCGUGUUUUACUCGGUUUAGACAAUUUCUUAGGGUUUUUCCUGUCGAGCAGCUGGAUGCAUGUUAGAGUUAGUUAUGAAUUGUUAUUCUGGUGCUAUAGUCGUUAAGUCGUUGAGGGAAAGCUAGUCAGUAGCAAUUCUCUAUAAAUAACAGUUGUAAAGUUCAAAGAAAGGCUGGAUAUAAAAUACACAGUAUACUAUCUUUUUCAUUCGUUUCUUCUUUAGUUUCUAUUCAAGAUAGUUCUUAUUUUAGGUUUUAUCAGUUAAAGAAUUACAAGAGACCCAAGAAGCUGGAAAACCUUGAAAUUGGUGGAAUACAGAUUGAAUAAUAGAUGAUGAGAGUUCUAUAUAUCCACAUAUAUAUAUAUAUAUAUAUAUAUAUGUAUGCAGGUUUGUUAUUUAAGUUAAUUUUAACAGGCUUGUUAGUGGGUUAAGCCUUGCCUAAGUUAUAUUUUAAUUAUUUGCUAUUUUCAUGUUAUGUUUUCCUAAACAAAGAUAUAGAAAGGAAUAUGUAAUGAAAUGCCUGGGAUAUUGUAUUUGUCUAAAACUUUGGAUUCUCUUUUCUCUCUUUUCUGUUAGCCUUCUUCUUUUCUUUAUGGGAUUUCAUUAAUUAUCCUACAUCAAAUUGUAUUCAGAGCACUCAAACUUUAAUACACUUACAUAUGCAUAAUCUUGUAAUCAUAUAAAAAAAUAUAAAUUUUAUUCAACAAAAAUAUAACAUAUUGACAAUAAAAUAAGUUUAAACUAGUUGAUAUUGUGAAAAAUAAAUAUAAAUAUUUUUAAAAUUAAUUAAUGCAUUAAAUAUAAGUAAACAAUAUGUAUUGAAUUAAUGGAAAUAUAUUCUUAUAAGGAAAUUAUCUUAAAUUAAUUUUUUUCAUUCCAAAUUACAGCUUAAGUAGCCAAAUUUCCUCCAUUUUUAUAUUCAUUUUAAGCUGGAAUUUUGGCAGUUCAAGCAAUUAUAGAUAUACAUAUAUGGCUAUUUCUUAUAGAGGAAGAAAACAGUCUCUGAAAUAUCAGUGUCUAUAUACAUAUACACGUGAACUCCCUUUUUUUUUUCUUACCAUUUUCCUAGAAAAUUCUAAGCAUUCAUAUCAUUAGUUUCACGGUGCAUACCAAAUAUAUAUGAAGUUUUAUUUCAUUAACAAAAGUGUAAAAAAAAAAUAAUUAUUCAAAUUUUCCGUUUUUAAUUUAUAUUUAUCAUAAUACAAACUAUUACAAUUCUAAAAAUUAAUUACAAAUUUUAACAAGUAAAUAUAAAAUUAAAAUUAAUAUAUUCAAAGCUAGUAAUGAAUAUAAAAACCUUAAUUUUACAAUUUCACAUUUAAUUUCCAUAUAAAUAUUUUUUUAUAAAUAUAUGUUACGUAUAAAAGAAUUCAUCCAUGGUGCAUAAUCUUAAUAUUUAUAAGAUGCAGAAGUCAAGAGACGAAUGUGAGGGAGCAGGCAGGGGCCUUGACCCCCUAAAAUAAAAAAAAAAUUCAAUUUAAUUUUCUUAUAAAUAAAGAAAUUAUAAUGAAAUUACAUUUUGACCCAUUUAAAUAAAUUUUUUAAUUUAAUUCUCUUAUAAAUAAAGAAAACAGUAAGAUUGUAUUUUAACCCCUCAAAAUAAAAAUGUUUAGUCCCUUCAAAAUAAUCAAAUUAUAAAAUUAAUAUAUAAUAAAUUUAUAUUUUAUCUAUAAAAAAUUAUAGUUAAAUUUCGACUCUGUAAAUUUGUCUUUGCUGAAUCGUAAAUCAAAUUGAUUAACUAAGAUAGAGUAAGAAAAGGAAACCAAUUUGGCUAUGUUGAUUACAACGUAGUGACCAAUCAAUCAUGUUUCCUUAAAAGUUUAUUAAGUUUAUUUUUAUUUUAUUUUGACGAAAUAAGCGUAAUUUCUAUGUUUGCAAAGCCUUAGACUUUUGAGAAUGACAUUAACAGAACAAAUGGUAAAUUUAGCAAUUGGUUGAGCAGUGAACUAAAGAAUUAUUCACUUGGAUAUCCCAAGUUGGGAUCUCAAAUCAAAGAUUUUAUUUUUAUACAGAAAGUUAACCACGUCAGGGAAUGUAUCAUAACCAUGUUAGAGGCAGCUGAUAUACUUUUGAUGAAGAGUAACUUAGAGGAUGUGAUCAUAGCAAUACACCUUUCCAGGAAAACAUAUUCUCAUAUUCGCCUUAACUAUAUUUGGGCAUUGGGGUAUAAUAUACUUGGGAUUCCAAUAGCCACAAGGGCUCCAUUUCCAUCAAGUGGAUUUCGUUUACCUCCAUGGAUUGCUGGAGCUGCCAUGGCUGCUUUCUCUGUUAGUGUUGUUUGCUGCUCACUCUUGUUAAAGAAUUACGAGAGACCCAAGAAGCUGGG